CAACACAGACACGUUGUGGCUGCAGGUGUCGAAGUGAGUGGAUGUAGGAGCGGUGAAAUCCUUUGGCUUUAUCAACACCAAAGUCGUACAGAGAGUUUCAUUUGAUUUUCUUUUCUUCCUUCUUCUGCUUCUCUUCUUCUCAUUCUGUAGAAUUCAAGUGAUGAAUUUGAUAGCACGUUUGAGAGUUCUUGGUUGAUGCAACUAUUUUGAUGGUGUAUGAGGUGUUGUCGAUGUGAUUUAAGAAUGAGAAGAUAUAGUAUUGCUGAGGUUUUGAGAUGUAUCAGGGAGAAGUGGAGUUAGGGUUUCUGUGAGUUGAUGAAGGUUUGAUUUGAGGUAAUUAGAGAUGGGUUUAGUUGAUUGAAUUAAGGGUUUGCAUUCAAUUGAUAAUCUGAGGUGGUUUUAAUGUAAACUGAGAAGUUAGGGUUUCUCCGAAAAUCGUUGAGGGUGAAAACGAUAUUGAGACUCAAAUCAAGAUAGAAGAAGAGUAGAGUUAGUUUUAGUUGGUGGUGGUGGUGUUGAUUCAAGCGGCUGAUACAGAACAUGCAGAAAAGGUAAUUUGAGAAUUUAAAUUAGGGUUCUUUAAUUCGAAUAUUUUUUCUGUAAAUUGGAUAAGAGAUGAUGAAUCCUAGAUGGGUUUUGAUCAGAUUUGAAGUAAAGAUGUUUAUGUAAGUUUAAUUUUGAUUUCAAUGAAAUUAGGGUUUCUCAUGUUCUUCCCCAAAUCAUAAGUCAGGGUUCCUGAGAGGGAAACUAUAAAUGAGUUUAAGGUUGUUCUUGGGGAUUUUGGGAAUGUUGAGACAUAGAUGAAGAUUUUGUUUUGCAGUUAGAGAUGAAGUUAUGGGUGUGGUCUGAGAGUUGAAUUUAGUGAUACUGAAGAUGGUUGUUGAGUGUUGAUUGAAGUAAGAGUUGAUUGAACUCAUGCUGAUGUUGUAUGAGUUUUUAGCUCAGAUCUUGUAGCAAAGCCGUAGAGUUGGAUUCUGAUAGUGAUAUUAGAUAGAGCUAAUUGUGUUGGGACUGAAUUACAGUUGUGGAAAAUGGUGUUAUGCCCGAGAACAAUGGCUCUGUGGUGUUGUGUUCAAUUGUAGCUGCAUAUUAGAAGUAAUGGUAAAUGGAGAUGGUAUUAUUUGUGAAAAUGAAGUGAAAUGGGUCUGUUGUGUCUGUGAGGUUAUGAGCUGAAUUGUGAUCAACGAGGAUUGGGCCGCUGUUGAAGUAAUUAGCGCAAUAAGAAGUAGAUAUAUUAGUCUGAGAAAUUAUGGAACUGUGGAUUGGUGGUAGUAGUUUUCUUAAUAUUGGUUAAAAAUGCAGUGUAGUUAUAUUUGCUGGUGGUAAUUGAGAAAAGAGUGUGUUUGAAGUUUCAGUUCUGAGUAAUGGUGGUGUUGUAUGGAUGUUGGCUACAUGGAGUUGUGUUGGUUGCGGUUGCAAUUGGGUUGUGCUCUAAGUAUGUGAUUACAGAUUGAAUGUAAUUAGGAUUUGAACUGUGUGUGAUUGAAGAUAGUUAUAUCUGGAGUUACAGAGAGUUGGGUUGAGACAUAAAUUGAAAUAAUUGGUGGUGGAGGUAUGUAUAAGUUAGUGAUUUAGGAAUGAAGAUUACAGUUGGGUGGUAGUGCUGAGUUGAGAAUGAAGUUGCAGGUGUUGUGGGUGAUCACAUUAAAAGUGUAGGAGCUGCAGUUUGUGUUAGUGGUUGAGCUAAGUUGAUAUGUAAUGGUAGAUGUGUAGCUUGAUGGUAGUCUCAUUGGAAGCUUGCUUCUGCUACAUAAAGUUUCAGAGACAGAUCAGAGUUGCGCAGCGAAAGCUUCAAGGGUUGUUAUCAUUAGCUGGUUAACUUCUAUUAUGUUUAUUAUAUUUCAUAUUGUAUCUGUAAACCAAAUGAUUAUUGUACAUGUAUCAUUUGAGAGGACUUCUUGUAUAUAUAUGUUUCAGAGCGGAUUAGUUUUGGGUUAAGUUUUGUAUCGCAUUUCUUAAUUUAAUGCUUAAGUACAUGUUUUGGA